AGUGAACGCUGGCGGUAGGCCUAACACAUGCAAGUCGAACGGCAGCACAGUAAGAGCUUGCUCUUACGGGUGGCGAGUGGCGGACGGGUGAGGAAUACAUCGGAAUCUACUUUUUCGUGGGGGAUAACGUAGGGAAACUUACGCUAAUACCGCAUACGACCUACGGGUGAAAGCAGGGGAUCUUCGGACCUUGCGCGAUUGAAUGAGCCGAUGUCGGAUUAGCUAGUUGGCGGGGUAAAGGCCCACCAAGGCGACGAUCCGUAGCUGGUCUGAGAGGAUGAUCAGCCACACUGGAACUGAGACACGGGCCAGACUCCUACGGGAGGCAGCAGUGGGGAAUAUUGGACAAUGGGCGCAAGCCUGAUCCAGCCAUACCGCGUGGGUGAAGAAGGCCUUCGGGUUGUAAAGCCCCUUUGUUGGGAAAGAAAAGCAGCAGGUUAAUACCCCGCUGUUCGGACGGUACCCAAAGAAUAAGCACCGGCUAACUUCGU
rnacentral:rRNA from 1 species